CCUGACCUUGUGAUCUGCCCGCCUCGGCCUCCCAAAGUGCUGGGAUUACAGGUGUGAGCCACCACGCCCAGCCAAUGCUCAAAAAACUUUAUGAGGCUCAUAGGUGGAAAGGACUUACCUUGUCUCAGGCAAAGAAACACCGGAAAUCCUGAGGAGCUACUCCAGAUUAAGGACACUAAAGAGAUAUGGCACCCAGAGGCGACGUAUGAUCUAUUUGCAUGAGGAAGAAAACUACAAAGGGUAUUACUGAGUCAACUGCUGAAAUCUGAAUACAGAUGGAGAUCAGUUGAUACACUGAAUAAAUAUUAUACUUCUCAAUUUUGGUAAGUACACUGUAGUAAAAAGAAUGCCACUAUUCCUAGGAAACACAGAAGUAUU